rnacentral:rRNA from 1 species
GGACGGGUGAGUAAUGUCUGGGAAACUGCCUGAUGGAGGGGGAUAACUACUGGAAACGGUACCUAAUACCGCAUGACCUCGUAAGAGCAAAGUGGGGGACCUUUGGGCCUCACGCUAUCGGAUGUGCCCAGAUGGGAUUAGCUUGUCGGUGGGGCAAUGGCUUACCUAGGCGACGAUCCCUAGCUGGUCUGAGAGKAUKACCAGCCACACUGGAACUGAGACACGGUCCACACUCCUAUGGGAGGCAGCAGUGGGGAAUAUUGYACAAUGGGCGCAAGCC